GACGAACGCUGGCGGCGUGCUUAACACAUGCAAGUCGAACGAAAAGGCCCUGCUUUUGUGGGGUGCUCGAGUGGCGAACGGGUGAGUAACACGUGAGUGACCUGCCCUUGACUUUGGGAUAACUUCAGGAAACUGGGGCUAAUACCGGAUAGGAGCUCCUGCUGCAUGGUGGGGGUUGGAAAGUUUCGGCGGUUGGGGAUGGACUCGCGGCUCAUCAGCUUGUUGGUGGGGUAGUGGCUUACAAAGGCUUUGACGGGUAGCCGGCCUGAGAGGGUGACCGGGCACAUUGGGACUGAGAUACGCCCCAGAAUGCUACGGGAGGCAGCAGUCGGGAAUAUUGCACAAUGGGCGGACGUCUGAGGCAGCGACGCCGCGUGCGGGAUGACGGCCUUCGGGUUGUAAACCGCCUUCGCCUGUGACGAAGCGGGAGUGACGGUAAUGGGUAAAGAAGCACCGGCUAACUACGUG
rnacentral:rRNA from 1 species